UACAGAGGGUGCGAGCGUUGUCCGGAAUCACUGGGCGUAAAGGCGCGUAGGCGGCGCGGUAAGCGUGCGGUGAAAGCCCGGGGCUCAACCCCGGGUCGGCCCGUGCGGACUGCCGGGCUGGAGCACUGUAGAGGCAGGUGGAAUUCCGGGUGUAGCGGUGGAAUGCGUAGAGAUCCGGAAGAACACCGGUGGCGAAGGCGGCCUGCUGGGCAGUUGCUGACACUGAGGCGCGACAGCGUGGGGAGCAAACAGG
rnacentral:rRNA from 1 species